UUAACCACAAAGACUAUGCUAUAAUUUACUCAAUAAUAAUACUUUCCCGACAGAAACCAUGUGCCACGGCCCACAUGUGCACGAUCGAGACCUAGGGACCGCACAAUGUAGACGAGCUAGCUGUGCUGGAGUUGUCGUUUAGUUUGGGUCAUCAUGUCCCAUUUCUCUACUAGUCUCCGCCUUUCAUGCUCUCUUGCAGAAAACACGCAAUUCUCAGUUUUCAUUGUCCGUUCUCUCAACUGUUUCUACUGCUGAAUCCUCAAGCUUUAUUCACCAAAAAAGAAAAAUAAUUCCUCAAAAUUUUCCUGUAGGUUUUCGGCUCUUUUGAUAUUAGUACUCAAAGUAAGGAUUGGAAGAAGCUGUAGCAGAUCCAUCUUUUGAUAUCUAAGACAAGGACAGGGGCUGCAUACGCACAAUUGAAGACCCAGGGGCGGGCAUUGGAGGCCAGCAGGUUGUUCUUUUCAUGUAAUAGUCUCGGCUGUUCAUGCUCUCACACAAUUAUUGGUUUUGAUUAAAGGUUCUCUUCUCUUUUGGCUUCACUACUCAACGUGAGGAUAGGAAGAAGCUGUAGCCGACCAAUCUUUUGAUAUCUAAGACAACGACAGAGGUUUUGUUAGUGAGCGUUCUUCCAAUUCAAAAGAAAAAA